rnacentral:tRNA from 1 species
AGGAGUAUAGCUCAGUUGGUAGAGCGGCGGUCUCCAAAACCGCAGGUCGUGGGUUCGAACCCCGCUGCUCCUG